rnacentral:misc_RNA from 1 species
UCCCCGUUGCCGAGGCGGUCUCGCUAGAAAUUGCAACUAGCAAUAAGGGUUGCGCUCGUUACUGGACUUAACCAUACAUCUCACGACACGAGCUGACGACGGCCAUGCAUCACCUGUCACCGGUCCAGCCGAACUGACUCUCGACUUUCGUCGGGAUACGACCGGGAUGUCAAGUCUUGGUAAGGUUCUGCGCGUAGCCUCGAAUUAAACCACACGCUCCACCGCUUGUGCGGGUCCCCGUCAAUUCCUUUGAGUUUUAGCCUUGCGGCCGUACUCCCCAGGCGGGAUGCUUAACGCGUUAGCUUCGUAACUUCUCGGGUCGAUACGGGAAACUACUAGCAUCCAUCGUUUACGGCGUGGACUAC